rnacentral:rRNA from 1 species
AAGUCGUAACAAGGUCUCCGUAGGUGAACCUGCGGAGGGAUCAUUACCGAGUGAGGGCUCCGGCCGACCUCCAACCAUUUGUGAUUAACACCUCUGUUGCCUCGGGGCGACCGGCUCGCGUCGGGACCCCGGUGGCCCCAACCAACUCCUGCGUCAAUUUGCGUCUGAGUGUGAAGGAAAUCAAUCAAAACUUUCAACAACGGAUCUCUUGGUUCUGGCAUCGAUGAAGAACGCAGCGAAAUGCGAUAAGUAAUGUGAAUUGCAGAAUUCAGUGAAUCAUCGAAUCUUUGAACGCACAUUGCGCCCUCUGGCAUUCCGGGGGCAUGCCGUUCGAGCGUCAUUACACCACUCAAGCCUGGCUUGGUAUUGGGCGAGCGGUGGACCCCACCCGCGCCUCCAUGUGUCCGGCUGGACGUCUGAAUCUCAGCGUUGUGAAUCAAUUCGCUGCGGGACGACCGACGCGCCGUUAAAACGUUUCAUCACAGGUUGACCUCGGAUCAGGUAGGGAUACCCGCUGAACUUAA